rnacentral:rRNA from 1 species
GAAAGUAAUGAAGGGCGUACGGUGGAUGCCUAGGCUCUUACAGGCGAUGAAGGACGUGAUAAGCUGCGAAAAGCCGCGGUGAGGCGCAAAUGGCCCUUGACCCGCGGAUCUCCGAAUGGGACAACCCAAUAUCUUGAAGAGAUAUUAUCCCGCCGAUGCGGGAGGCGAACGCGGGGAACUGAAACAUCUUAGUACCCGCAGGAAAAGAAAAUAAAGAAUGAUUCCCCCAGUAGUGGCGAGCGACCGGGGAAGAGCCCAAACCGACGUUGUCUCGGCAUCGUCGGGGUUGUAGGACCGCGCCAUCGCAAGAAAGGCCGUGAGUGGAAGCGACUGGAAAGCCGCGCCAUAGAGGGUGACAGCCCCUUACACGAAGCAGCCCGAAGCGUAGCGGACUCCUGAGUAGCGCGGGACACGAGUAAUCCUGUGUGAAUCCGCCGGGCCCAUCCGGCAAGGCUAAAUACUCGUAAGAGACCGAUAGUGAACCAGUACCGUGAGGGAAAGGUGAAAAGUACCCCUUGCAGGGGAGUGAAAGAGUUCCUGAAACCGUACGCCUACAAGCGGUCGGAGCAUCUUGAAUGAUGUGACGGCGUGCCUUUUGCAUAAUGAACCUACGAGUUGCCGUCACCAGCGAGGUUAAGUGCGAUGACGCACCGAGCCGCAGCGGAAGCGAGUCUUAAAAGGGCGCGAUAGUUGGUGGAGGCAGACGCGAAACCGAGUGAUCUACACUUGUCCAGGAUGAAGUCCCGGUAACACGGGAUGGAGGUCCGCACCAAUAAGCGUUGAAAAGCUUCUGGAUGAGGUGAGUGUAGGAGUGAAAGGCCAAUCAAACUCGGAGAUAGCUCGUACUCCCCGAAAGGCAUUUAGGUGCCGCCUGUGGCGUUCCCGACGUGAGGUAGAGCGACUGAUAGGAUGCGAGGGCUUCACCGCCUAUCAAGUCCUGACAAACUCCGAAUGCACGUCGGCCAAGCCAUGGAGUAAGGGCAUGGGUGCUAAGGUCCGUGCCCGAGAGGAGAAGAAUCCAGACCACCGGCUAAGGUCCCGAAAUACUGGUUAAGUUAGACUAACGCAGUCCGGCCCCCAAGACAGCUAGGAUGUUGGCUUGGAAGCAGCCAUUCAUUCAAAGAGUGCGUAACAGCUCACUAGUCGAGGAGCUGGGCGUGGAUAAUAAUCGGGUAUGAAACCAGUUACCGAAGCCGUGGGAUGCUUAAGCAUCGGUAGGGGAGCAUUGCAUGCGGCUUAGAAGGCGGGGCGUGAGCCCCUCUGGAGCGCAUGGAAACGCAAAUGUAGGUAUAAGUAACGACAAGGGGGGUGGGAUGCCCCCCCGCCGAAAGACCAAGGUUUCCUGAACAACGCUAAUCGGUUCAGGGUCAGUCGGGUCCUAAGCAUAAGCCGUAUGGCGAGGGCGAUGGACGAAACGGUUAAUAUUCCGUUACUGUCUUGGUGUGUGACGCGGCGACGGAGUAGUGACACGGCCGCCUCCUGACGGAAAAGGGGGUUGAAGCGCAAAGGUGUCGAGGAAGGCAGGCAAAUCCACCUUCCGAGCCGAAGCGCGAAAGUACGCCGGGCCCUUUGGGGCAAGGCGAUAGUGCCGGUAAUCAGACUUCCAAGAAAACCCGCUAAACUUCAGCACCAAGUCACCCGUACUCUAAACGGACACACGUGGUCGGGUAGAAUAUACUAAGGCGCUUGGGAGAUUCACGGUUAAGGAACUAGGCAAAUUGACCCCGUACCUUCGGAAUAAGGGGUCCUCGCUUUUGCGAGGCGCAGAGAAUAGGUCCAGGCAACUGUUUAACAAAAACACAGGGCUGUGCAAAUUUGAAAGAAGAAGUAUACAGCCUGACACCUGCCCGGUGCCGGAAGGUUAAGAGGAGAGCUCAUCAGCGAUGAGAAGGCUUGAAUUGAAGCCCCGGUAAACGGCGGCCGUAACUAUAACGGUCCUAAGGUAGCGAAAUUCCUUGUCGGGUAAGUUC